UUGCGAAAUAAUGGUCAGCGGUAUUAUUUCGCACGGAGGCUCGCGAAAUUUUGACAGGUUGCAAUGAAAAAAUAUAAGAAAACACAAGAUUGGUAAUUUUUUGUAUUUUUUUCAUCGCAACCUGUCAAAAUUUCGUUGUUUAGAAAUUCAAUAUUUCGAAUUUGAAUGAUCGAACACCAACAACAUAAUAUGGUAAUCACCCAGCAAGAGAACGCAGUGAUAAUGGGCCAACAGAAACCACAACAUCAAGAUGCUCGGAAAGGACUUUCUCUUUCGAACAAACAAUGGCACGUCAUGUUCAAUCGGCUAACCGUUUGGAAUAAGCGCUCAUCAUCGGUUUCAUUGCAGGGAAGUGAGCAGGUAAAAGAAGGCAUCGUUUUUUCCGCAAGGUCGCUCUGGUCAAAAUUUCAGCGGAUUGCAAGGAAUAAACCACCCGAGGGACAGUACCCGUGCUGAUUCAGGACGAUUACCCAUACUUUGUACCUUGCUAUUGAAUUUUAAUACCCGAUCGAAACGAUGGCAAGCGCUGCCGAUAACUGGGUCAAAAAGACAACGAAUAAAGAAAUUUCUGCACUCGGUUAGCGAACUGAGUACAUAUCACCAAGGAUAAUGAUUCAGAGCCGGCGGCUGGCAAGAAAGAGAAUGCGG